GGAUCAUUAAAGAGUUUAAUAAAACUCCUAAACCCCUGUGAACUUACUGGUGUUUGGCUCGCCAGAUAUAGUCUGGUCCGUAAGCAAAUCGACUGCCUGCCUGUGUAACAGGCAGGUAAGCUUUUGUCGCGGGGUCCCGGAUCAACCCGGGCUAGAUAGCCACUUAACUAUAUACUUUUUAUAAAAUCUGUGAACUUACUAGGUUGGAUUCUCGCCAGAGAUAGUCUGGUUUCUGCUUCGCGGAUCGCCUACCUGUGACACCUGUCACAGGCAGGUAUGCUUCUGCCGCGGGUCCGUAAGUAAAUCAUCUGUUUCGCAAGGGACGGCGAUUUACCUGUGGAAGAGGUCCGCUAACUAUAUUCUUAGUAUAGUUUGUUCACUAGAUCAAACAUUCUGAAUAAAAACUUAAACUAGUUAAAACUUUCAACAACGGAUCUCUUGGUUCUGGCAUCGAUGAAGAACGCAGCGAAAUGCGAUAAGUAAUGUGAAUUGCAGAAUUCAGUGAAUCAUCGAAUCUUUGAACGCACAUUGCGCCCAUUAGUAUUCUAGUGGGCAUGCCUGUUCGAGCGUCAUUUCAACCCUUAAGCCCCUGUUGCUUAGCGUUGGGAGCCUACAGCCUGCUGUAGCUCCUUAAAGGUAGUGGCGGAGUCGGUUCACACUCUAGACGUAGUAAAAUCUUUAUCUCGCCUAUGGAUGAGCCGGCGCCUUGCCGUAAAACCCCUAAUCUUUCACAAGGUUGACCUCGGAUCAGGUAGGAAUACCCGCUGAACUUAAGCAUAUCAAUAAGCGGAGGAAAAGAAACCAACAGGGAUUGCCCUAGUAACGGCGAGUGAAGCGGCAACAGCUCAAAUUUGAAAUCUGGCCUUCGGGUCCGAGUUGUAAUUUGCAGAGGAUGCUUUGGGCGCGGUGCCUUCCGAGUUCCCUGGAACGGGACGCCUUAGAGGGUGAGAGCCCCGUACGGUUGGACACCAAGCCUCUGUAAAGCUCCUUCGACGAGUCGAGUAGUUUGGGAAUGCUGCUCUAAAUGGGAGGUAAAUUUCUUCUAAAGCUAAAUAUUGGCCAGAGACCGAUAGCGCACAAGUAGAGUGAUCGAAAGAUGAAAAGCACUUUGAAAAGAGGGUUAAAUAGCACGUGAAAUUGUUGAAAGGGAAGCGUUUGCGACCAGACCUUUUCCCAGCGGAUCAUCCGGUGUUCUCACCGGUGCACUUCGCUGGGUUGAGGCCAGCAUCGGUUUCCGCAGGGGGAUAAAAGCCUGGGGAACGUAGCUCCCUCGGGAGUGUUAUAGCCCCUCGCAUAAUACCCUUGCGGGGACCGAGGACCGCGCU
rnacentral:rRNA from 1 species